rnacentral:rRNA from 1 species
GGACCCGCACAAGCGGUGGAGCGUGAUCUUUAAUUCGAUGGUAAACGAUAAACCUUACCAAGGCUUGACAUCCGAGGAAGGCUCUCGAAAGAGAACUGUGCCUUUUAGGAACCUCGAGACAGGUGAUGCAUGGCCGUCGUCAGCUCGUGUCGUGAGAUGUUUGGUUAAGUCCAUCAACGAGCGCAACCCUUGUUGUCAGUUGUAUUUUUCUGACGAUACUGCCCCGGUAACGGGGAGGAAGGAGGGGAUGAUGUCAGGUCAGUAUUUCCCUUACGCCUUGGGCGAGAAUCGCGCUACAAUGGCCAGUACAAUGCGAAGCAAAGCAGCAAUGUGAAGCAAAUCGCACCAAAGCUGGUCCCAGUUCAGAUUGGAGGCUGAAACUCGCCUCCAUGAAGUCGGAAUCGCUAGUAAUCGCACGAUCAAGCAUGUUG